rnacentral:ncRNA from 1 species
GCGAGCCGUAUACUUUGAAAGGAGUACGUACGGUUCUGAGGGAGAUUGAAAAGAUAUCACACACCAAUGCAAUCGACCCUAC